rnacentral:rRNA from 1 species
AGUGAACGCUGGCGGUAGGCCUAACACAUGCAAGUCGAACGGCAGCGCAGUAAGAGCUUGCUCUUACGGGUGGCGAGUGGCGGACGGGUGAGGAAUACAUCGGAAUCUACUUUUUCGUGGGGGAUAACGUAGGGAAACUUACGCUAAUACCGCAUACGACCUACGGGUGAAAGCAGGGGAUCUUCGGACCUUGCGCGAUUGAAUGAGCCGAUGUCGGAUUAGCUAGUUGGCGGGGUAAAGGCCCACCAAGGCGACGAUCCGUAGCUGGUCUGAGAGGAUGAUCAGCCACACUGGAACGUAGACACGGUCCAGACGCCUACGGGAGGCAGCAGUGGGGAAUAUUGGACAAUGGGCGCAAGCCUGAUCCAGCCAUACCGCGUGGGUGAAGAAGGCCUUCGGGUUGUAAAGCCCUUUUGUUGGGAAAGAAAAGCAGCAGGUUAAUACCCCGCUGUUCUGACGGUACCCAAAGAAUAAGCACCGGCUAACUUCGUG